AACCCUAAUAUAUAUUAUAUAUAUUUGAUUAUAUUAUUAGUAAGUCUAAACCACAGAACAGAAGAGAAUCGGACAUUUGCCUCUUCUCGAUAAAACCUAAACCUAACCUCUCAAAUUCCGCCUCCCCUCCUCUCACGAUCUCAUCUGUUCACGGUCUCUUAUCUUCUCAGAUCUUUCGGUCUCAGUUUGGCAGGUAUUUUGUAGCUCUCAAUUUCUCCACUUCUCUUUCCUCACUGAACAAACCCAUAUCAGCAUAUCAUUUGAGAUUGUUCAAAAAAUCAAUACCCAUAUCUUUCAGUUUCCGUGGCCCGCUGUCUCUCAACUCUCAAGCUUGCCCCCUUCUCUAUCUGCAACUGCUAACUUGUAUUAAUGGGUUUUGUUUUAAUUUUUUUUUCCUUCUAAAUCAACUAAUCAAGGUAAGACUGUGAUUCUUGUUUUGCAAACAAAAUCUUAUUUGGUGAAUUUUUUUAUGAUCUUUUUAAAAUAAUUUUGAGGUAAUCACCUAAUCUACAUUUUAUUUUAGCAAAACAAAUAAUUUUUAUUUAUUUUUAUUUUUAUUUCUAUACCUUCUAUUUCUUUUUCUUUUUUUUUGGUCUAUUUCUGCUUUCAGAUAUCCUUUUUCUAUGUGUAGAAUUUAGUGAAUAUGUAUAUCCUGCACUGAAUCUAAUUAUUGCGGGUUUCUUGCACUGUGUAGUCCUAAAGUAGCUUCAUAUCUUCCUCAGUUGCGUGGAACCGAAUUGGAACCGAACCGUUUCGGUUCGGUCCGGUCCGGUUCCGUAUACAAUACUUCCAUGCAUCCUUAAUUUGUAGAGGUUCCGUAUACAACGCUUCCGAGCAUCCUUAAUUUGUAGAGGGCAAAACUGAACCCUUAAUUUAUUAGAAUCGUCGACUAUAAAAUUAGAGAUGGACAAAAGAAUCGGAACUGGAUAAAUGAAAAAAAUUUCGAUCCCGAUUCUAAAUUUAGGAACUGUAGACACAAGGUUCGGUUCCCAUUCUAGCACAUGAGAACCCAUAAAAACCGAACCAUAUAUAUAUAUAUAUUAUAUUUAAUUAUAUAAAGUAACUAUACUAACUAUUAAAAACGUAACCAAAUAGUACUCUAAGUCUCUGAACACAGUAAACACUCAGCCACGUGGUCCCAAGCUAACCACAAAAGAAAACGUGAAAAAGUGAAAUAAAACGUACUUUUUCAGUUUUUAGCCCUAAGCUUCAGUCGUAGCCUCAGCCUCCUCUCAUCUAAACCUAAACCCUCGCCGCCUCUAAGUCCUCUCAUCGGCCAUCGCCCUCGCCUCCUCUCAUCUAAACCUAAACCUUCUCCUCCUCUGAGUCCUCUCGUCAGCCAUCGCCCUCGCCUCCUCUCAUCGGCACUCGCCGUCGCCUCCCCUCCUCUUCAGAUCAAGUCUCAUCUCAAGCUUCAGACUUCAGAUCAAGUCUCAUCUCAAGCUUGAUAUAAGUCUCAUCUCAAGCUUCAGACUUCAAUCGUCGCCUACAUCUUCAGAUCUUCACCCUCACCAGUCACUCCUCAUCCUCUCAUCUUCUCUUCAGAUCUUCAUUAAACGGUCGGUUCCACCCUAUACGGUUCCGGUUCCGUUUUUAAGGAACCGUUGUGAACGGUUCCGGUCGGAACCGGAACCGUAAGGAACCCAACCGUGUGCACCCCUAUCUAAAAUCUUCUUUUCACAUAACCUUAUCUCCUAAAGUAAAAUCAACGAUCAAUGUUCAAAACCUUUUCAAAUCAACGGCUACUGAUGGCCUUCCUAGUCUAUAUAGACGAAUCUCACGACCUAACUCACACGAGUAGAGGAGUGUUUGGUGUGUGGGAAAGUAAAGGGAGAGUUGAGCCAUUGGGAGCGUUGGGUUGGGAGUGAUAGGAAAAACCUCUCAGAAUUUUUUUUCCUAUUCCUCCCAUACCAAAGGUUUCCAAUCUUUCCUCCCUUUCCUUAUUCGUCACGCGAUCUGACGGCUCUAAAUUUCCACAUCUGUCCUCAGAAAUCUUCGACUAUGGCUAUGAGAUGGUUAUGUGGAGAGGAUCGAGAUGCAAUUGACAAAUUCAUUAAUGGUGGGACUAAGACUGGAGCUAUCUUCUAUUGGAGAUCGUGGUUAUGCAAGUAUUUCUUUUGUUACUAAUUGCUCCACUUGGAAUUUACGUUUGUUCAGUAGUAGUUCAUUUCAAGUAAGAAUCAUGUUUUUGAGCACACAAGACAUUGUAAUUAUUGAUUAAUUUUCCUUUUUGACUUGGAAAAUUUCACAUUCAUUUUGUAGCAAUAGCACAUUGUGAUAUAUAUAGAACUUUUUUGGGAUUUGAUUUGAUUUGUAGACCUUAACAAUGUCACAAUUAACUUGGAAAAGGGUAAUUUGUGAAUGGUAAAUUUUGUUAGUGAGGAGGCUAGGAAUCAAGCAUUCUUCAGUUUUAGGGACGCGAAACACCCUAAAGCAAGUAUAUUUCGCAUGUUAAUUUUAAACCCCCCCAAUCUGAAAAACUGCGCAAAAAAUAUUUUCGAUCUUUUCAUAUUGUGUAAAAAUACUUCUACUGAUAUAAAUUAGUGUUGUAAUAUCUGUUUUGCCAUUUUACUCUUCCAAAAAUGUCCUACAUAGUAUUAGGGUAUUAUGUGCAACUUACUUUAUAUAUAUAUAUAUAUAUAUAUAUAUAUAUAUAUAUGUUUAAAACUUUUUUCUGUCUAUUUUUUAUUUAUUUUUAUUUUUAUUUUUUAAACUUUGAAAAUUUGUAGAAUAAGGAUUUGAGGUUUUUUUUAGAUUACGGUCUACUAUUUUAUUUUAUUUUAUUUUUCUCAUUCCAACACUAUUAAAAAAAUUAAAAAAUGCACUGGUUUGAAAAAUUAUGUUUUCUUUAGUUCGAACUUUAUUUUUAUUUUUUUUUAUUAUUUUUAUCUUUAUUUUUAAAUUUGUUAAAAUGAUUUAUUUGCACCAAAUUGAGUGUUUUUUGGACAGGAGGGACAUUCUCCAUUAGUGUCAUUUUUGGUCAUUUUUCAAAAUUAUAUAGGGUUUUCUUGAUUUGUAAUUAUGGAAAUAAUUUUCUGUUUUCGGAAAAGUGAAAACAAAAAACUGGAUAAAAAAAUUCUACUUGGUUCUGUUGUCUGAAAAUUUUAUAAAAAAGGCAUCUUUUAUGAAAACUUAAUAAAAAGGUUUGUUUUACAGAGAUAAUAGUCUUUUAUAGUAUUUUAAAAAUUGUUCUUUGUUUUUUAAAUUUCUGAAAAUUGUUUUUAAAGUUACAAACUAAACAGGUUAUUAUUUUUAUAUAUUUUAUAAAAUGGAUUUAAAUUUGUCAAAUGGUCUUAUUUGCAUCAAAAUAAAAUUUUAGGAGUGUAUUUUUUCAGUGGUGUAAUAUGCACAAGUAAGUAUACUUUAGGUGUUUUUUUAGUGGUGUAAUAUGCCCAUGUAAGUGUACUUUAUUAAUAGGAGUAAAUUAUAGAAAACGCCCUUUUGUUAUCUAUAGGAUUUUUUUCUUUAAUUUUCCCAUGUACAAUUUGAUUAAUACAAAGAGACUACACGUCGUCAUUUUCAUAUCUCAUUAAACUUUUAUUUGUAAUACAAAAUCCUUCAAAACAAAUUAUAUGGACUCCUCAGAAUGAGAAAGCAUACACAAUUUUUGGUUCGAGCCUUGGUUUUAGAUUUGAGUUUCUGGAUAAAUAAUUUUUGUCGUGGAAGUACUCAUACUGGUUGAGUUGUAAUCAGGUUGAGUCCGGGACUUGUCAGGUUGAAGUGGCAUGUGAGGUGUUGUGUGUGCCUUAGGGUGAUUAGUCUCACCCGUAAGGUGUGGGGGUACCAACCACAGACCUAGUGAAGGUUCAGUGGGAGCAAUUGUCCCGUAUUGAAAUAUAUAUUUUUUGUUAUUUUAUAGACCCAUUAAUAUAUUUUUUUGAAUUAUAUACCUAUAAAAUUUAAAAAUUGCCUCCAAAAAAAAAAAAAAAAACCAACUAUUGCCCCACCCUAUGAUUUGAAUUUUGUAUUCUUCUUGUUAAAGAUCUACUCUCUUUCACAUAAUUUUUUAAGUCCGUCCAUAGCAUACCUCCUCCAUAAAACAAUAAAUAAAUAAAUAAACAAAAAAUAAAAACAAAAGCAAUGGGUGCUACAAAGCGGGUUUACCCAUUUAUGAUAUAUGUUAUGCAUUGAACAACGAAUGAGUUCUUUUAACCAAAAAAAAAAAAAAAACACAAGGAAU